AUGAAAUAUACUCAUUCUAAUCCUCUCCCUCAUUAUGACCAAAUGUGUCAAUUUUCUCAAACUACUACUCAUUAUAAUCAUGAUCAUGAUCAUGAACAACUCCACCUUUGCCACCCGACCUUUGACACAUUUUUCGAUGAAAUUUGUCGUCACUCGACAAAACGAUGAGGAUCAUGUGGAAUUAGGAGAUGAUGUGUUGGGAACAACAAUUGGAGAAAGAUGUGGAGAAAAUGAUGAUGAAUGCUUGAAGAAAAGAACUCUCAUUGCUCACCUUGACUAUAUCUAUACUCAAAAGCUAAAACCAUAAACUCAAUUAAUUAAGUAUAAAGACAAUGUAUUAUAUCAAUUAAUUAUUAAUUAUCUUUUUAGUUGUGUUCA